CUGCAGGCUCAGGCUGGGAGCUUUCCUUCUUGGAUGUUUAUUUUACGGAAGCCUACCCAGACUCCUUUGGGCUCACCUAGACAUUUCUUCCCCUGCACACUUCCCCUGCGGCAGCCGCUGUGAGGUAUUGGCUGCUCAGCGUUCCCACCUACAGCAGACCACACACUCAUGAAAAGUGGUUAUUGUCUUCUCAUCAGACAAAGCCCAAGCCUUUGUGGUGGUGUUUGAUACUGACACGUGUGCCCGGGGAUGCUCUGAGACUGCGUGUGUUCACCCCACCCCAGCUGUCGGGGAAGAGGGAAGAUGGCAUCUAUUUUCCUGGCUCAGACACAAAACCUGGUUCCCUGGCUGUUCAGCCAGACUCCUCCCCCUGGGACCUGUCGUAACCUGAGGUGACUCUCUGGAGGUGCUCCUUCGAGGUCCUGGGAUUUUUUUCUGAAGGAAAACAUGGAAACAUGCUUGCCCGAGGAAG
rnacentral:lncRNA from 1 species